rnacentral:lncRNA from 10 species
AAAGAUCAUCAAGUUUCCCCCCGGCAACAACAUGGCCCCCAGAGUGGCCUGCAGCUUUCUGGACACUGCCUCCAGGACAUCCAGUGCCUCAGGUUGAAUACUACCUGCCAAAUGGCGCCUUCGGUCUACACUAUUUGCCUUAAUAUGAGAAGAAAGCACAGCCCUACUAUAGCAAAGUUCUGGACCCAGGGAAGCUUCUCAAUGUCCCCCAAAACAUGGAAGUUGUCAUUAUGGGCAAGUGCUUGUGAAGCAUGUGACCUUCAACAAUCCACACAGCCGUAUGAAGGAAAAGUAAAAUUCCAACUUA